GCACUUGGUCACAUGGUAAUUAUGUUCUGGGAGCACAAAAUUCCUUUUUAAAUGAAUUGUUUGUAUCCUGUUUUCAGAAAAUUCAUUUUUUAAUUAAUUGUUUGUACCUCAUUUUCAGAAAAUAGGGUACAAACAAUUCAUUGAAAAAGGAAUUUUGCCACCCUCCCCUCCAUAACAUAAUCAUCGUGUGACAGAGAUGA